rnacentral:rRNA from 1 species
AGCGAACGCUGGCGGCAGGCCUAACACAUGCAAGUCGAACGAACCCUUCGGGGUUAGUGGCGGACGGGUGAGUAACACGUGGGAACGUGCCUUUAGGUUCGGAAUAACUCAGGGAAACUUGUGCUAAUACCGAAUGUGCCCUUCGGGGGAAAGAUUUAUCGCCUUUAGAGCGGCCCGCGUCUGAUUAGCUAGUUGGUGAGGUAAUGGCUCACCAAGGCUACGAUCAGUAGCUGGUCUGAGAGGAUGACCAGCCACAUUGGGACUGAGACACGGCCCAAACUCCUACGGGAGGCAGCAGUGGGGAAUCUUGCGCAAUGGGCGAAAGCCUGACGCAGCCAUGCCGCGUGAGUGAUGAAGGCCUUCGGGUUGUAAAGCUCUUUCGCACACGACAAUGAUGACGGUAGUGUGAGAAGAAGCCCCGGCUAACUUCGUGCCAGCAGCCGCCGUAACAC